GAUGAACGCUAGCGGCAGGCCUAACACAUGCAAGUCGAGGGAGAGGUUAUCUUCGGGUAACCAAAACCGGCGCACGGGCGCGUAACGCGUAUACAAUCUGCCUUUCACAUAGGGAUAGCCCGAAGAAAUUUGGAUUAAUACCUAAUGGUAUAUAAGAGCGGCAUCGUUUUUAUAUUAAAGCUACGGUGGUGAAAGAUGAGUAUGCGUUCUAUUAGCUAGUUGGAGAGGUAACGGCUCCCCAAGGCGACGAUAGAUAGGGGUUCUGAGAGGGAUGUCCCCCACACUGGUACUGAGAUACGGACCAGACUCCUACGGGAGGCAGCAGUGAGGAAUAUUGGACAAUGGUCGGAAGACUGAUCCAGCCAUGCCGCGUGCAGGAUGAAGGUCCUAUGGAUUGUAAACUGCUUUUGUAAGGGAAGAAUAAGGAGUACGUGUACUUUGAUGACGGUACCUUACGAAUAAGCAUCGGCUAACUCCGUGCCAGCAGCCGCGGUAAUACGGAGGAUGCGAGCGUUAUCCGGAAUCAUUGGGUUUAAAGGGUCCGUAGGCGGGCUGAUAAGUCAGAGGUGAAAGCGCUUAGCUCAACUAAGCAACUGCCUUUGAAACUGUCAGUCUUGAAUGAUUGUGAAGUAGUUGGAAUGUGUAGUGUAGCGGUGAAAUGCUUAGAUAUUACACAGAACACCGAUAGCGAAGGCAUAUUACUAACAAUUUAUUGACGCUGAUGGACGAAAGCGUGGGGAGCGAACAGG
rnacentral:rRNA from 1 species